AGAGUUUGAUCCUGGCUCAGGAUGAACGCUAGCGGCAGGCUUAAUACAUGCAAGUCGUGGGGCAGCACAGGUAGCAAUACUGGGUGGCGACCGGCAAACGGGUGCGGAACACGUACGCAACCUUCCUUUAAGCGGGGAAUAGCCCAGGGAAACUUGGAUUAAUACCCCAUAAGACAACAGAAUGGCAUCAUUUAGUUGUU
rnacentral:rRNA from 1 species